AGAGUUUGAUCCUGGCUCAGGAUGAACGCUGGCGGCGUGCCUAAUACAUGCAAGUCGAACGAGGCGCUUUUUGUAGCAAUACGAGGAGCGUCCUAGUGGCGAACGGGUGAGUAACGCGUGGGUGACCUGCCCCAAAGUGUGGGAUAACAGUCCGAAAGGAUUGCUAAUACCGCAUGUGGUCGCUGAGUUUAGAAGUUAGCGACUAAAGCAGCAAUGCGCUUUGGGAGGGACCUGCGUCCCAUCAGCUAGUUGGUAAGGUAACGGCUUACCAAGGCGACGACGGGUAGGGGACCUGAGAGGGUGGCCCCCCACAAUGGAACUGAAACACGGUCCAUACACCUACGGGUGGCAGCAGUAGGGAAUAUUGCACAAUGGGCGAAAGCCUGAUGCAGCAACGCCGCGUGCGCGAAGAAGGUCUUCGGAUCGUAAAGCGCUUUUCUGGGAGAUGAGAAAGGACAGUAUCCCAGGAAUAAGUCUCGGCUAACUACGUGCCAGCAGCC
rnacentral:rRNA from 1 species